rnacentral:rRNA from 1 species
CGACUGCUAAUGCCCUAUAUGCCCAUAAGACAUAAGUCUGCUGGGGAAAUGCUUUUGUGCUCGAGGAUGGGACUGUAUGGUAUCAGCUAGUUGGUGAGGUAAUGGCUCACCAAGGCAAUGACGCCUAACUGGUUUGAGAGGAUGAUCAGUCACACUGGAACUGAGACACGGUCCAGACUCCUACGGGAGGCAGCAGUGGGGAAUAUUGCACAAUGGAGGAAACUCUGAUGCAGCAACGCCGCGUGGAGGAUGACACUUUUCGGAGCGUAAACUCCUUUUAUAUAGGAAGAUAAUGACGGUACUAUAUGAAUAAGCACCGGCUAACUCCGUGCCAGCAGCCGCGGUAAUACGGAGGGUGCAAGCGUUACUCGGAAUCACUGGGCGUAAAGAGCGUGUAGGCGGGUUAAUAAGUUUGAAGUGAAAUCCUAUGGCUCAACCAUAGAACUGCUUUGAAAACUGUUGACCUAGAAUAUGGGAGAGGUAGAUGGAAUUUCUGGUGUAGGGGUAAAAUCCGUAGAGAUCAGAAGGAAUACCGAUUGCGAAGGCGAUCUACUGGAACAUUAUUGACGCUGAGACGCG